CCUAACACAUGCAUGUCGAACGGCAGCGGGGGUAGCUUGCUACCUGCCGGCGAGUGGCGAACGGGUGAGUAAUACAUCGGAACGUGCCCUGUAGUGGGGGAUAACUAGUCGAAAGACUAGCUAAUACCGCAUACGACCUGAGGGUGAAAGUGGGGGACCGCAAGGCCUCAUGCUAUAGGAGCGGCCGAUGUCUGAUUAGCUAGUUGGUGGGGUAAAGGCCCACCAAGGCGACGAUCAGUAGCUGGUCUGAGAGGACGAUCAGCCACACUGGGACUGAGACACGGCCCAGACUCCUACGGGAGGCAGCAGUGGGGAAUUUUGGACAAUGGGGGCAACCCUGAUCCAGCAAUGCCGCGUGUGUGAAGAAGGCCUUCGGGUUGUAAAGCACUUUUGUCCGGAAAGAAAUCGCUUCGGUUAAUACCUGGAGUGGAUUACGGUACCCGAAGAAUAA
rnacentral:rRNA from 1 species